ensembl:lncRNA
CUGUGUGUCCUGCUGUUCUCACGGCCGUCACCCCAGCGCCUGCCCUGCCCAAGCCUCUGCCGCCUGCCCCGCCGGACCGUGUCCUCUGGGCUCUGCAUUCCGGUAUUUCCACUGGGAACCAUUUUCCUUCCGCUUGGGAUCGAUCCCCACAGGUUUCGUUUGUCUGGCAACGUCUUGGAGGCAGUGUUUGGGGUGCAGAGGCGGAGGCUGCAGCUGCCCGUUUGUCCUUGCAGGCACCUCCCACGUCCUUCUGCCCUCUGUGUUUCUCUGGCCACUGCGGGCAGCUCUUCCCUCACGGCCAGGAGCUGGAGCUACACGUCUUUAUGUUUUCUGAAAACAGAGUGAGCAGUUAGGUGGUCUUUCGAAGACUUUCCUCCUGCCUGGUGGGCGCUGAGCGCCAGGCCGAGGAACUCUGGCCUGUGACGUGUGCCCCUUAGGACGGACCCAGCCAUUGCUAGUUGUUGGGGCAGGUUGACCUGGUGCCUUGCGAGGUCCAUGGAGGUCACUCCUGCAAUAGCAAUCGAAGCUUAUUUUUUAAACGUACUUUUAACUUACCGCCCUGAGAAAACAGAAAUGAAUGACUCGUAUUUCACAGAGAAGUCAUUCUCCGUUGAGAGCGGUGGAUUUAGCAGCGCACUAGCCCGACUGUUCUUAUGAUCAAGCCAAAUAUUUAAGGUUUCAAUGAGGCGAUUAGACCAAGGGAGUUAUCUCAGAAACUGUCAAUCAGAUGUUUCCCCUUCUCUCUCCUCUUAAUGAAACAAAAGAAGAAAGUGAAGAGACAGGUGGAUUUGGGUUCAGUUUGCCAAGCAAAAUUUGAAGCUUAAAACUUGAGGAGAUGCUCUGCCAGUGUGCGACCCUGUUUGAUGGAUGCCUGAGUCUUGCUCCUCGGCCUAAACGCGGGACGUGUGUCCCCAAGUCCAGGACAAUCAGAGGAGGAGCCGAUGCAGCACCCAGCCCCUUGGCGGGGAACAUCCGCUCCUGUGCGGCAGCCUCUGGCCGGCCUCGUUGCCUUGCUGAGCGGCUACCCCUCAGAGGGCCGGGGGCCAGGCUGGACAGCUUUCUUCAUUUUCUGGGGGUCUUUGGCAGGGGACAGGCUGGACAGCUUAACGCAUUUAUCUGGGGGAUCUUUUGCCAGGACCCCCAGAUGUGGCUCCCGUGUGCCUGCAGGAGCUGGUGGAGUUACCAGCAGGGCCGUGCUGGCAGGUGCUGGGACCCAAGGCUUGGAGGGCUCAGGAGUGGCCCCUUCCGCCUUAGAGCUGGGGUCCCUGCGACCAGUCCUGCUCUGUGCACCCAGCAUGCCCCUCUGUUCGGCUCCCAGAACCCACUUCCCCAGAGGGAAUGUGAACCCAGGGCAAGGCACUGCCUCCCUGGGCCCCACAGAGUGACCUUGGGCACAGGCCACCAGACACCUUAUCCGAACGAGUGUAAAAAUAGGACAGAAAUCACUGCCGCGAGCCAGAGCGUGCCCUGCUUAUCUCGGGCAGCAGCAGCAGCUCAGCCGGAACGAUUAGGGGGUAUUUUGGACCAGAUGAUGCUGGUACAGCCACCCCAGGCACCAGGACAGAGGAGCGUCGCCAGCAGACACAUACCUUUGAAGCUGUUACCUAUCGCCCUGCACAUGGGGAAUAGCUGCCCUCAUGCCCAUCAGUGCAAGUGGGCGAAGAAAAUGUGGCCCGUUUGUGCAGUGGACACUCGACAGCUGCGUAAAGGAAGGAGAUGCUGGCACGGGCUACGCCACGCGGGAGCCAUGCGGACGUUGUGCCUCGGGCCCUGUUGGGUCCCCUCCUGGGAGGUCCCUGGAGCCCUCAUAUCCGCAGAGCCCAAACGCAGAACAGCAGGUGCCAGGCUGGGCAGAGCCCUUCCUUCCGCGUGGGAGGAUGGAAAGACUCUGGAGACGGAAGGUGAGGGCAGACACACCGAGAUGGGGUUUCGAUUCAUCAUCUGA